UACGUAGGGGGCAAGCGUUGUCCGGAUUUAUUGGGCGUAAAGAGCGUGUAGGCGGCCGUACAGGUCAGCUGUGAAAACUCGAGGCUCAACCUCGAGACGUCGGUUGAAACCGUAUGGCUAGAGUCCGGAAGAGGAGAGUGGAAUUCCCGGUGUAGCGGUGAAAUGCGCAGAUAUCGGGAAGAACACCCGUGGCGAAGGCGGCUCUCUGGGACGGUACUGACGCUGAGACGCGAAAGCGUGGGAGCGAACGA
rnacentral:rRNA from 1 species